UUGGCACAUGUCAAAGAGCUAACAAAGGGAUCUUCCUAAAAGGUGUCAUUGUGUGCCCAAAGGGUUUCUGGACUUGGACAUCAUGGUGGACUGGUACAAUUGUCUGCUUAUGCAGACUUGCUGGAGCAUAAUAGUUCCACAAAGACCAUUCUCCAAAUAGUGAACCCAGAAGCCUUCACUUAUGACUUCAAUAAAAAUUCACCAAUGGAACAGAAUAGAUAGCCCAGAAAUAAUGCCACACACCUACAACCAUCUGAUCUUCCACAAAAUCAACAAAAACAAGCAAUGGGGAGAGGACUCCCUAUUCAAUGAUCGGUGCUGGAAUAACUGGCUAGCCAUACGCAGGAGAUUGAAACUGGACCCCUUCCUUACACCAUAUACAUGAAUCAACCUAAGAUGGAUCAAAGACUUAAAUGUAAAGCCUAAAACUAUAAAAACUCUCGAGGAUAACACAGAAAAUACCAUUCUGGAUAUAGGACCUGGCAAAUAUUUCAUGAUGAAGACACCAAAACCAACUGCAACAAAAACAAAAAUUGACAAAUGGGACUGGAUUAAAGAA
rnacentral:lncRNA from 1 species